AACAGGAAAGUUAAGUAUCCAAAGUGCAGAAUUAAAAGUACAGACCAUGCACUCAGAAGGUGCUAAAAUCCAGGGCACAAAACAACCCACAAACCAAAAACAAAGUACAGUAAAACAUUAAAACUGAUUACAAAAUCAUUCAUCAUCACUACUGUCAGAGGCUUCAUCCUCAUCUGUAGCAGUAGCAUAACCUUCAUCCUCAUCUGCAUUGUUUUGAUCACCUGUAGCA
rnacentral:lncRNA from 1 species